GCAUACAUUGGACACUUGACUGGAGGUUUAAUUCAUUUGAUAUUGUCUUCACUAACUCUGACGGUUCAAUUCCACUUUGAUGCUUGAAUGUCUCGAAAAGAAGGGCAAAGUAUUUGUGCAACCUCUGUCCCUGUCCAACGUGUUGUGCGUUGUAGGAGGAGCAAGCGGA